CCUACGGGUGGCAGCAGUGAGGAAUAUUGGUCAAUGGACGAGAGUCUGAACCAGCCAAGUAGCGUGAAGGAUGACUGCCCUAUGGGUUGUAAACUUCUUUUAUAUGGGAAUAAAACGUUCCACGUGUGGGAUUUUGUAUGUACCAUAUGAAUAAGGAUCGGCUAAAUCCGUGCCAGCAGCCGCGGUAAUACGGAGGAUCCGAGCGUGAUCCGGAUUUAUUGGGUUUAAAGGGAGCGUAGGUGGAUUGUUAAGUCAGUUGUGAAAGUUUGCGGCCCAACCGUAAAAUUGCAUUUGAAACUGGCAGUCUUGAGUACAGUAGAGGUGGGCGGAAUUCGUGGUGUAGCGGUGAAAUGCUUAGAUAUCACGAAGAACUCCGAUUGCGAAGGCAGUUCACUGGACUGCAACUGACACUGAGGCUCGAAAGUGUGGGUAUCAAACAGGAUUAGAUACCCCUGUAGUC
rnacentral:rRNA from 1 species